rnacentral:rRNA from 1 species
UUCGUAGGGUGCAAGCGUUGUCCGGAUUUAUUGGGCGUAAAGAGCUCGUAGGUGGUUCGGUAAGUCGGAUGUGAAAUCUCCAGGCUCAACCUGGAGGGGUCAUUCGAUACUGCCGUGACUAGAGGUCGGUAGGGGAGUGUGGAAUUCCUGGUGGAGCGGUGAAAUGCGCAGAUAUCAGGAGGAACACCCGUAGCGAAGGCGGCACUCUGGGCCGAUACUGACACUGAGGAGCGAAAGCGUGGGGAGCGAACAGG